rnacentral:rRNA from 1 species
GACGAACGCUGGCGGCGUGCUUAACACAUGCAAGUCGAGCGGUAAGGCCCUUUCGGGGGUACACGAGCGGCGAACGGGUGAGUAACACGUGGGUGACCUGCCCUCAGCUCUGGGAUAAGCCUGGGAAACCGGGUCUAAUACCGGAUAUGACUCCAUGAUGCAUGUUGUGGGGUGGAAAGCCUUGUGCGGCUGAGGAUGGGCCCGCGGCCGUAUCAGCUUGUUGGUGGGGUGGAUGGCC